rnacentral:sRNA from 1 species
CAAAGCGCCGGAGCUGGGCUUCCCUAGAACGGCCUCUCCUCUGCUUCCCUGAUAGGGCCACCUUUUGGGUUUUGUCCUAGCACCUCCCUUUCUGUCUCUGCCCUCUUCCUUUGGUCUUCUUCCUCCAGGAUCUGUGUCUCAGCUCCUGCGUCUCACUCCCUCUCUAUCUGCCUUCUGUUUCUCUUUGGGUCUCUCCCAGCUCUCCUCUUCCUGGCCUGGCUCCUCUCUCUAAUCCUGCCUCUCUUCCUCUUCCCCCAUUGCCUUGUCCCUUCUCACUCUAGGCCCUCACCUCCAGCCUCUGGCCCUGACCUCGAGCUGUGUCCUGAUUCUGUCUCUGCCCCAGGACUGCAGGGCUCCAGGAGGUCUGGGCUGCCUCCAGCUUCCCACUCCCAGGUUGCGGCUGGACUGGGACUGGUUCCUUUCCAGUUGAAUCUGGCAGCCAAACCUCUCCUCCCCCUCACCUGACAGGUGCAGCGGCCUGGAUGGGGAACCCGCCCGCCGGCCCGCCAGGGAUGGAAGCGACAGGAGUCUCAUUAGCAUCUCAAUUAAAGGCGCCUCCAUAUGGGUCGGAGAACCAGACCUGCAGGGACCAGGAAAAGGAAUACUAUGAGCCCCAGCACCGCAUCUGCUGCUCCCGCUGCCCGCCAGGCACCUAUGUCUCAGCUAAAUGUAGCCGCAUCCGGGACACAGUUUGUGCCACAUGUGCCGAAAAUUCCUACAACGAGCACUGGAACUACCUGACCAUCUGCCAGCUGUGCCGCCCCUGUGACCCAGGUGAGUGGGG